rnacentral:lncRNA from 1 species
UUGACAUCAUUGAAUGCAGAUUUCAGGAGAGAUGCACAAAAUAGCUGGAAUGAGCCGGCUUCGUCACAGCACGCUCUUAGAAGGGGAAAUGGACAACACAUGGUGAUGAAUUGGGUGUGGGGAAUGAAGGGGAGAAAGAGGUGCCAAGAAUGACUGGUAGCUUCUGAUUUGCUGAAUAGGAUGAAUGAUGGAACUGUCCACAGCUGAAAGUAAAAACUUCACCUGUGAAUGGGGUCUCCAAUCUCUCCUUUUCUCUCCCUCUUUCUUCUAUGAAUGCAGCAUUUACUGUCUGGGUCAAAGAGGAUGUGUCCUAAAAGGAGAAUGAGAAAUAAAACCCAGAAGGAGAAAGAAAACGUGGAGAAUAUUGCUGAUUGCAGCCAAGGGAAGAGAAUGUUUCCAGAAGGAGGUUACCACUGCGAGGUCAAGUAAGGGACUGGAGAAUGCUUCUGUAUCUUGGCAGGUGGGGCCAUUGGAGGGAGUAGUUGUGACCAGGUGAAGGGCUGAGGGGCAGAGCAGAGUAGAGUGAGGAGUAAAUGUGAGAUAAGAAAAUGGAUCAGGGGAAUAGUCUUAUAUUUCACAAGAUUUGAACAGGCACUUCACCGAAGAAGAUAACAGAUGGAAAAGAAGCAAACAAGAAGACGUUCAACAUCAUAUGUCAUUAGGGAAUUAAAAAUGAAAAAAAUGAUGAGUUUCCACCGCACUCCUAUUAGAAUGGUUAAAAUUCAAAACAACACCAACACAAAAUGUUGGUGAGGCUAUGGAGUAACAGGAAUUCUCAUUUAUUUCCUAGGAGUAACGCGAAUAAAAAGCAAUGGGACAGACACUUUGGAAGACAGUUUGGCAGUUUCUUACAAAAGAAGAAAUUGGCCCAAUGUGACAGUCAUGUCCUACUACUUGGCACUUGUAUUCCUUGGUAUUUGCACAAUUGAUUUGAAAGCUUAUAUCCACACAGAAACGUGCACACAAAUGAUUAUAACAACUUUAUUAAUAAUUGCCAAAAACAGAAAGAAAGCAAGUUGUUCUUCAGUAGGUGAAUGAACAAAAAAUUGUACUACAUUCGUACAAUGGAGUCUUAUUCAUCCUUAAGAUGAAAUGAGCUAUCAAGCUAUAAAAAACAUUGGGGGGGGGGAUCAUAGAUGCAUAUUGCUAGGUGAAAUAAGUCAGUCUAAAAAGCCUACAUACUAUAUGAUUCCAACCAUAUGACAUUCUAAAAUAGGAAGAACAAUGGAGAUAGUAAAAAGGAUAGUAGAUGCUGGGGGCCAGGGGGCAGUAUGAAGAGAGAAGAUGAGUAAGUGGAACGUAGGGGAUUUUUAGGGAAGUAAAAUUAUUUUGUAUAAUACUGUGAUGGUGAAUACCUGAUAUUAUGCAUCUGACAUCAUGCAGUGGGCAUAUAGAAGCCCAUCAACAAUACAAUACAAAUGGUAAACCUUAGUGUAAACUAUAGACUUUAGGCAACACUAAUAAUGUAUAAAUAUUGGUUCACCAAUUGUAACAAAACUACCACAGUGAUGCAAUAAGUUUAUAUUUGUGGAAACUAUGUGAGAAGAGGGAGGAGGAGUAUAUGGGAACUCUCUGUACUUUUAUGUUCUAUUUUCAUAUAAACUGAAAACUGCUCUAAAAAAUAAAUCCUACUAAGUAAAAACAUAAAAAGGAAACAUGGAGCAAUGAGAAAUCCAUAGAGGUUUUGAAAAGCUCUGAAAGUAUUCCUGGAAAAAUAGAGGACCAUGCACAUACAUAGAGCAUGAACAUGUUCAGGAAAGACCUAAAAAGACCCUAAGGUCUCACUUCUGGCUGAUCUUGAGAAUAUGUGUGACAGCAAGUGAAGGCUAAGGCAGAGUUGUUAAUUACCUGGCUGAGUGUUGAAGGCAUACCCCUACAAGUAAACAGUGGCUCUCAGCAACACUUAGAGAUAUAUUGACUCCAUCUAUUUAAAUAUGUCUAUGUCCAGUAGUUAGCUAACCACUAAAGACUUCGGUGAUCAAACACAACAAUGAAUACAGACUGUUCAGAAUUAGUUCAGAAAAGUCACUAAACUAAACAAACAAAAAAAACAAACCCAGCAACUACAAUAAGCAGCAAUUGCAGACCCUGGGGACAGAAGAGGGCAAAGAGAGAAUCUGAUAUCUACUAUUGCUACAUUAUAUUAUUUAAACAUCAAGUUUUAAAAAAAUAAGAGAAAAAAGAAUGUAUGACCCAUACACAAGAAGGAAAAAAGCAAUCAAUAGAAACUAUCCCUGAAAGAAUGUAGAUGUUGAAUUUACUAAAGAGAGACUUUAAAUUAGUUAUUUAAAAUAAAUUGAAAAUAAUAUAGAAAAUAGCAAAAUGGAAGAUGCAAAAUGGCAGAGGUAAAUCCAAUAGUAUUAGUAAUUACACUAAUUGGAAAUGGAUUAAAUUCUCUAAUCAAAAGGCAGAGAUUGACUUAAUGGAUAAAAAACAUAAUCCAACUAUAUGCUUUCUACAAGAAACAUAAUUUAGAUUCAAAGACAAAAGUAUGUUUCAAAUCAAAAGAUGAAAAAAGAUCUAUAGUGCAAACAGUAACAAAAGGAGAUCUGGAAAAGCAUAUACUAUGCAAACGUAAGCAAAAGAGAGCUGGAAAAAGAUACUUCAUGCAAACUGUAACCAAAAUAGAAUUGAGGUGGAUAUACUAAUAUUAAAAUAGAUUUUAGGACAAAUAUUUGUAGUAAAUACAGAGAAAAAUACUUGAUAAUGAUAAAAGAAUGGAUUCAAAAAGAAGAUAUAAUAAUUAUAAAUGUAUGAACCAAGUAACAAACUCUUAAAAUACAUGAAGGAGGAAUUGAUUAAAUUGAAGGGAGAAAUAUAAAAUUCAACAAUAGUCAGAAACCUCAAUACCCCACUUUCAAUGAUGGACAUAACAACUAGACAAAAGAUCAUCUAGGAAAUAAAAGAGUUGAACAGUACUAUAAACAAUUAGGCAUAAGACAUAGCUAUAGAAUAGUCCACCCAACAAUAGCAUAAUACACAUUAUUUCCAAGUGUACGUGGAAAAUUCUCAAGGAUAGAUUACAUUUUAGGCCAUAAAACAAGUUUCAAUAUAUUUAAAAGAACUGAAAUCAUAACAAAUCUCCUUCAACAACGAUUGAAAUUAGAAAUGUAAACAACACACUCCUAAAUAGCCAACAGGUUAAAGAAAUAGUCACAGUGAAAUUAGAAAAUACUUUAAAAUUAAAACCCUACAUACCAAAAUUUAUGGAAUGCAGUUGAAGUAGUGCUUAGAGAAAAAUUUACAGAAAUCAAUGCCUACAUUGGAAAAGAAUAAAGGUCUGUCUUAAAUCAAUAACCUAGCUUAAAAAACCUAGGAAAACAAGAGCAAACUAAUCAGAAAGCAAGCAAAAAAGGAAAUAAUAGAAGAGCAAAAUAAAUAAAAUGGGUCAUAGGACAUUAUGUUAAGUGAAAUUCUCAGACACAGAAAGACAAAUAGUACGUGAUCUCACUCAUACUCAUCUAGAAAAGGUCAAUAUUAGUUACUGUUACAGAAGUAGUGUGUGGAAUGGUGGUUAUCAGGGGGUGUGGUGAAGGGUAGUGGUGGGGAGAUGUUUGUCGAAGGAAACAAAAUUUCAAUUUGUUGGGAGGAAUAAGUCCAAGAGAUGUAGUGUACAACAUGAUGACUAUAGUGAACAGUAUACUGUAUUAUCAGAAAAUGUAAGAGUGGAUUUAAAGUGUUCUCACCACAAAAAUGACAGCUAUGUGAGGAAUGUAUGUCAUUCCACAGUGUUUAUUAUAUGCACUUCGAGACAUUGUUAUACAUGAUAAAUAUAUACAAAUUUUAUUUGUUAAUUUAAAAAUAGAGAAUAACAAAACAAAACUUUUUUUAAUAUUAACAAAUGGAUAAGUCUCUAGCUGGACUAGCAAGAAAUAAAGAGAAAAGGCUCAAACUUACAGAUAUAAAAAGGAUUAUAAAGAAGUAUUAUGAACAGUUGUAAGCCAAUAAAGUAGGUAACUCAUAUAAAAUUAACAAUUUCUGGAAAGACACCAACUAUCGAAACUGACUCAAGAAAAAAUAGACACCGAAAUAGACCUAAAACAAGCAAAGAGAUUAAAUUAGUAAUCAAGAAACCACACACAAAGACAGGUCCAGCAGACGGUUUCACCUCUUAAUUCUACUAGACAUUUAAAUAAUAAUUAAUAGUAAUUUUUCACAAACAUUUUCAAAAAAUAGAAGAGAGAACAGUUCCCAUUCAUUCUCUGAGGCUAUUACUAUACCAAUACUACACAGGAAAAGGCAUCAUAAGAAAAGAAAACUAUAAAGCAAUAUAUCUUAUAAAUAAAAAUGUAAAAAUCCUUAAUAAAAUAUUUGUG